rnacentral:rRNA from 1 species
AUUGAACGCUGGCGGCAUGCCUUACACAUGCAAGUCGAACGGUAACGCGGGGCAACCUGGCGACGAGUGGCGAACGGGUGAGUAAUGUAUCGGAACGUGCCCAAUAGUGGGGGAUAGCCCGGCGAAAGCCGGAUUAAUACCGCAUGAGACCUGAGGGUGAAAGCGGGGGAUCGCAAGACCUCGCGCUGUUGGAGCGGCCGAUAUCAGAUUAGGUAGUUGGUGGGGUAAAGGCCUACCAAGCCUGCGAUCUGUAGCUGGUCUGAGAGGAUGACCAGCCACACUGGGACUGAGACACGGCCCAGACUCCUACGGGAGGCAGCAGUGGGGAAUUUUGGACAAUGGGCGCAAGCCUGAUCCAGCCAUGCCGCGUGCGGGAAGAAGGCCUUCGGGUUGUAAACCGCUUUUGUCAGGGAAGAAAUCUUCUGGGUUAAUACCUCGGGAGGAUGACGGUACCUGAAGAAUAAGCACCGGCUAACUACGUGCCAGCCGCCGCCGUAA